UUUGAUAAAAAAGGUUUUAAAAAACAACGAGUCAAAUGAAAUUUAAAAAAAUUUAAUUACGUCAUUUUAAAAAAAUAAGAGAGAGUAUUUAGAUGUGCGUUGAAAUGCUGCGCGUUGUUUCUAGUGUAAGUGGACCAUAGGCUGAAUUAGAAAAUCAUCGCAAGUAAUAACAUCAAUCUUCAACGGCACGUCGUCGUCAUCCUCCUUUGCUGCCGCAUACCGGGAGUAAACAGCGAAAUUAACCCCGCCUGCGACCACCCAUCACGAACUCCGCCUCCACCGCCGUGGAUAUGUACCCCGCGGCCCGGAGCUCCACCCGCCUCCCUGCCGACGCAUUUCGCCACCGCGCUGGUCUGCCGUGCCAUCCGUGUCGCCGUCGAGACCGACGAGGAGGAGGAGAGACAAGGCCGGCUGCAGCUCGUCACGGCGACAAAGGCCGGCGCCUCAGUGGUGCCCUAACAGAAAGGCCCUCGGAUUUCUCCUAUUAGUGUUUUACCCGUCAGAAUUAACUGGGCCAAAUUCAACUGUAGGCCGAAUUCAUAUGUAAAAAAAGACACGCCAAAUUACAUUUUUUUAUAACACAGUACCCUAUGAGCACCCACAGGCACCUCGCUGUCGACGGGUACGUCGCCAACCACCGAAAGCACAAAGCCGUUAGAAUCCGGAGUCGAAACUAGGAUCUCAAGUGCUACUAAGUCCUUUAUAACCACUAGCCUACAGGCCUUUC
rnacentral:lncRNA from 1 species